GAUGAACGCUAGCGGCAGGCCUAAUACAUGCAAGUCGGACGAGAUCAGUUCUUUCGGGAACUGGUUUAGUGGCGCACGGGUGCGUAACGCGUAUGCAACCUACCUUAAACUGGGGGAUAG
rnacentral:rRNA from 1 species